rnacentral:rRNA from 1 species
UACGUAGGGUGCAAGCGUUUGUCCGGAAUUAUUGGGCGUAAAGAGCUCGUAGGCGGUCUGUCGCGUCGGACGUGAAAAUCCAGGGCUCAACCCUGGACCUGCGUUCGAUACGGGCAGACUAGAGUUCGGUAGGGGAGACUGGAAUUCCUGGUGUAGCGGUGGAAUGCGCAGAUAUCAGGAGGAACACCGAUGGCGAAGGCAGGUCACUGGGCCGCAACUGACGCUGAGGAGCGAAAGCAUGGGGAGCGAACAGG